AUCAGGCCAUCAGCAGGAUUUAUAUAAAGAGUAACUCUCCUAUGAAGGUAAAGGCCACCCCCACUUCAGUUCCAGUGACUGAGAUACAUUUUUCCAAUCCUGAGGGCAAAUAUAGAUGCAGCAAGUUCCUUCUUCCCUUUGGAAAUUUGGCAGCUGCCUUCACCAGUGAGCACAAAGCCACAUUUCAAAAGAAACUGACAAAUUAUACCCAGCUGCCAGAAGGAGGUUAGUUUUCUGCGUGUUUUGUGUCCCCCUUCUCUGAUAACCAACAGGUUAACUUUCUAAAGG
rnacentral:lncRNA from 13 species